rnacentral:rRNA from 1 species
CUUUCUUUGCUGGCGACCGGCGCACGGGUGAGUAACACGUAUCCAACCUGCCCUUUACUCGGGGAUAGCCUUUCGAAGGAAAGAUUAAUACCCGAUAGCAUAAUGAUUCCGCAUGGUUUCAUUAUUAAAGGAUUCCGGUAAAGGAUGGGGAUGCGCUCCAUUAGGUUGUUGGUGAGGUAACGGCCCACCAAGCCUUCGAUGGAUAGGGGUUCUGAGAGGAAGGUCCCCCACAUUGGAACUGAGACACGGUCCAA